GAGCGGAUGGCUGCGGAGGCUGCCAGCGCUUUUUCAAGGCGUCGCUUCUUCUUCUCGGCUUGCUUGAGGCGAUCGAGCUCAUCCUUAGCGUGCUUCUUCUUUCCCUUCUUCAAGAUUGUGGUCGACUGGCUCCGUCCAACUUUAUCCAUCUAUGAAAACCUACUCUUUAAACCUAAAAGUUUUGUUAAAUGAAAGAGAAUGCUUGAAGCUUGUAGAUCUACACCCACUCCG
rnacentral:misc_RNA from 1 species